UUAACUCAAAUUUGUAUGGAUUUGGAACGUUUGCCUACAUUUUCCGCUAAGGACGUUGUUCCAACUGCACACAAAUUUGAGAUA
rfam:Bombyx mori DNA, contig: Bm_scaf161_contig40633, strain: p50T/Dazao, build 2, whole genome shotgun sequence.